CAUGCCUUAUGACCACCAGCGUUCCCACCUGCCUGUCUACCCAUGGUAUAUUUUCUACGUGUUUUUGGCUUUGUUUUAGUUUUCCUUCUGAGUUUGGAAGUGAGAAAACCUAAAAAGGAAGAGUUGCAUGUAUCAUCAAAAACAUAUCAAUGGACUACAGCUGGAAUUCUUAAUUUGGAGACCUACUAGUUACGUGACUGGGAAAAUCACCUCCACCCUCUGGCCUUAUUUUAUUGGGGGAAAUUAAUCAAACCCACCGUUUAGCAUUGUUGGAGAGAUCAGCCACACCGCUUACAAUGCUCCAGCCCAGUGACCGAAAUGCCACCGCUGUUGGACUACACGGGGUCCUGCCUCCCCUCUGUGUCUUGCAGCAUCUGUCUCGGAGGCCAGGUUCAUCUUCUGCUUUCCGUACCUUGGAUAAUAACAAAUUAGGGGUGCUGACUGAAGCCGCGCACCAAGGGCAGGGGGGCACCCCUGAGAUCUCACAGCACUCCAUGCUGGCCCCAGGGCCACCAGAACAGCAGCCCCUCCCCCCAACUGUGACCAGCCCUCCCAAGGUCUGUGUCUUGUCAUCAACGGCACUUGUCCACAUUUCCUCAAAGUCAAUUCUACACCAGACACGGACCCCCCACCCCAACACACACACACAAACCCGUGUCUCUGAAUCCUAUACUGCCCAGCCCUGCAGUCACCAGCCACAGGUACGGGACAAUGGCAAUGUGUCCAGUCUGAAUAGAAAUGUGUUGUUAGCAUAAAAUGCACACGGAAGUUUGGACACUGAGCAUAGAUACAAGAAAGGAAAAUAUUUCAUUGUUCCAUAUGAAUGGAGGGCAUCUGGGUGGCUCUGGUUGAGCACCCCACUCUUGAUUUCAGCUCAGGUCGCGAUCUCAGGGUUGUGAGAUCGAACCCCACGACAAUCGAUCCCAGCGUGGAGCCUGCUUAAGAUUCUCUCUCUCCCUCUCCCUCUGCCCCUUCCCUACCCCCUCCCUAAAAAAAUGAAUAAAAAUAAAUAAUUCCAUAUGGUUUGUGGAUUG
rnacentral:lncRNA from 1 species